CCCUGGGCGGCCCAACUGGUUGGGCACUUGACUACUAACCAAAAAGUUGGUGGUUCGAACCCACCCAGAGGUA
rnacentral:tRNA from 1 species